rnacentral:rRNA from 1 species
UCGGGCGCGGGGGCCAGGAGGGGGGUAAUAGGGAGGGGGUGAGCGGAAGUGGGAGUUAGUGGGCGUAAAGCGGGGGAGGGCGGUUGGUGAAAACAGGCGUGAAAUCCCCGGGCUUAGCCUGGGAAUGGGGCUUGGGACUGCCAGGCUAGAGUGCGUCAGAGGGGGGUAGAAUUCCACGUGUAGCAGUGAAAUGCGUAGAGAUGUGGAGGAAUACCGAUGGCGAAGGCAGCCCCCUGGGACGUGACUGACGCUCAUGCACGAAAGCGUGGGGAGCAAACAGGAUUAGAUACCCGAUUAGUC